UGAGGAAUAUUGCACAAUGGGGGAAACCCUGAUGCAGCGACGCCGCGUGAGGGAAGAAGGUUUUCGGAUUGUAAACCUCUGUCUUCGGGGACGAUAAUGACGGUACCCGAGGAGGAAGCCACGGCUAACUACGUGCCAGCAGCCGCGGUAAAACGUAGGUGGCAAGCGUUGUCCGGAAUUACUGGGUGUAAAGGGAGCGCAGGCGGACUGUUAAGUUGGACGUGAAAUCUAUGGGCUCAACCCAUAGCGUGCGUUCAAAACUGGCGGUCUUGAGUGAUGUAGAGGUAGGCGGAAUUCCCGGUGUAGCGGUGGAAUGCGUAGAUAUCGGGAGGAACACCAGUGGCGAAGGCGGCCUACUGGGCAUUAACUGACGCUGAGGCUCGAAAGUAUGGGGAGCAAACAGG
rnacentral:rRNA from 1 species